rfam:Pseudomonas balearica DSM 6083 genome assembly, contig: Ga0056079_108
UGCGUAUUUUGCCCAGGCGGAGCUCGACCGCCGCACCAAGUCCUGAGGGCUUUUGUCGAUCAGUACCGUGACCGUCUCGGGGUCGAGUCGAUCUGCCGUGUCUUGCAGAUCGCCCCG